CCUGUGGCCAAAGCCCCAAGGACACUCCAGGAACAGUGUCUCAAAAGACACCAUACCAACGCUCUUCUGCACUUGCAUUCUGAGUUCAGAUUUCUGUUCUCUCUUUUCCAAUGAGCCCAGCCUUUACACAGAGGUCUUGACUUUUCAUUCCCUUUGUCCUGGGAAAGACAGAAAAACGUUCCACCUAGCGUAGAAAUGCAAAAUGGUAUGCGGAAAACAGUACGGAAAUUCCAUCAAAAGUUAAAUAAAAUGAUCAAUUCCACUUCAGGGAAGACAUCCCCAAAAAGUGGAAAACAGUCUCAAAGAUAUUUGUGGAUUCACACUUUUGCAGCACUUUCUCACAAUGGUCAAAGAAUUGAAGCAACUCAACUCUCCACCGACCCAUGAACAGGUUUUCUUGGUCUGUAAGAGCCUAGCUGUUUCGAAGAAUACUGACUUGAAAUUGGGGGUAAAAUGGUCGGGGAGGUCUGCUGUCUUCCCAGUUGCUUGAGACAGUGAUUGGCAGGUGCAGGAAGACCUUUUAGUUCCCAUUCUUGCUGCUGCAUUUUUUAAAUCACCCUUAGCAGGAAUUGGUUUUCCCUCCCCAUCACUUUGGAAACCUGUGUAGACCGUCCUGAAGAAGGCAGAAUCUGUGCUGGGUUUGAAUUCGCAGCAUUCUGUAUGUCAACAUAUAGGGCCAGAGAAACUGGACCAGUGUGCUAACUCAUUCCUGUGCUCAAGCCUGGAUAAGUGGGCAGUUGAAAGAAAGAUGAUCACAAGGUCAGGGUUCUGGAAGACUUGACGCCUCUCCCUCCCAUCACCUGUGAUGCUAAGAUGCUUGCUUACACUCCAUGCUGUUCUGCUGAAAGCUGCAGUGCCUAGAGACUGUGCUUGCUAAAAGAAACAGCAUCCCCUCGCCAAUCCUCAGUGAUCUUCUAAAGUCACCUCACUUGCUGCUUUCCAGGUCUGCAAAGGCAGGAAGUCUUCCUGCCAAGUUCUUGCCCGUGAUGUGAACUUGCUGAAAAUAUCUCCUUCAUCUUUCCCUGAGUGCAUGGGUGAACCUGUGGUGGGGCACACCUGUUCACAGGGACAAUGGCUCUCUGGCUGUGGACCAACGAGUGUCACCUAGCAUUUUGGGCAGCUCUCCCAUUGCCCGCCAGAGUCGCCUUUGUUGGCCUUUUUGUCUCUUCAGUCCUUUUUCUGACCUGGUGACCUGACCGUUUCAUCCCUGGUGGCGUUCCUUGUCCAGAGCAUCUGUCAUCUCUCUACAGCUUUAGUCUCUGGUAGCGAUCAGAUAGAGGGCACCGGAACCUGCUAUUCUAGGGCUCACUGCAUCCUCAGCUCUCUGAGACCCUCGCCUGGAAACAGUGGUCUCUAACCCUUUCUGAUCCUGUACAACAUUUAGUGAAAGCUUAAGGAUACAU